UACGUAGGGAGCGAGCGUUGUCCGGAAUUACUGGGUGUAAAGGGAGCGUAGGCGGGAUUGCAAGUCAGAUGUGAAAACUAUGGGCUUAACCCAUAGACUGCAUUUGAAACUGUAGUUCUUGAGUGAAGUAGAGGUAAGCGGAAUUCCUGGUGUAGCGGUGAAAUGCGUAGAUAUCAGGAGGAACAUCGGUGGCGAAGGCGGCUUACUGGGCUUUUACUGACGCUGAGGCUCGAAAGCGUGGGGAGCAAACAGG
rnacentral:rRNA from 1 species